UGGAUAAGGCUCAUGCACUGCACUUCGGGUGUGCUGACCCCUGUGAUUUCCCCAAAUGCGGGAAAUUCA